CCUACGGGGGGCAGCAGUGAGGAAUAUUGGUCAAUGGGCGUAAGCCUGAACCAGCCAAGUCGCGUGAGGGAUGAAGGUCCUAUGGAUCGUAAACCUCUUUUAUAAGGGAAUAAAGUGUGGGACGUGUCCUAUUUUGUAUGUACCUUAUGAAUAAGGAUCGGCUAACUCCGUGCCAGCAGCCGCGGUAAUACGGAGGAUCCGAGCGUUAUCCGGAUUUAUUGGGUUUAAAGGGUGCGUAGGCGGCCUGUUAAGUCAGCGGUGAAAGUCUGCGGCUCAACCGUAGAAUUGCCGUUGAAACUGGCAGUCUUGAGUAUGUUAGAGGCAGGCGGAAUGCGUGGUGUAGCGGUGAAAUGCUUAGAUAUCACGCAGAACCCCGAUUGCGAAGGCAGCCUGCCGGGCCAUGACUGACGCUGAGGCACGAAAGCGUGGGUAUCAAACAGGAUUAGAUACCCUAGUAGUC
rnacentral:rRNA from 1 species